UCCAGACUCCUACGGGAGGCAGCAGUGGGGAAUAUUGGGCAAUGGGCGCAAGCCUGACCCAGCAACGCCGCGUGAAGGAAGAAGGCUUUCGGGUUGUAAACUUCUUUUGACAGGGAAGAGUAGAAGACGGUACCUGUCGAAUAAGCCACGGCUAACUACGUGCCAGCAGCCGCGGUAAUACGUAGGUGGCAAGCGUUGUCCGGAUUUACUGGGUGUAAAGGGCGUGUAGCCGGGUUGACAAGUCAGAUGUGAAAUCCUGCGGCUUAACCGCAGAACUGCAUUUGAAACUAUUGGUCUUGAGUACCGGAGAGGUCAUCGGAAUUCCUUGUGUAGCGGUGAAAUGCGUAGAUAUAAGGAAGAACACCAGUGGCGAAGGCGGAUGACUGGACGGCAACUGACGGUGAGGCGCGAAAGCGUGGGGAGCAAACAGGAUUAGAUACCCUUGUAU
rnacentral:rRNA from 1 species